GCCCGGGUGGCGCAACGGCGACGGAGCCGCCUUAAAGGCGGCAUCUCUGCGGGUUCGAAUCCCGCCCCGGGCACCU
rnacentral:tRNA from 1 species